rnacentral:rRNA from 1 species
AUUGAACGCUGGCGGCAGGCCUAACACAUGCAAGUCGCACGAGUGGCGGACGGGUGCGUAAUGUCUGGGAAACUGCCCGAUGGAGGGGGAUAACUACUUGAAACGGUAGCUAAUACCGCAUACCCUCGGAUGUGCCCAGAUGGGAUUAGCUAGUGGGUGGGGUAACGGCUCACCAAGGCGACGAUCCCUAGCUGGUCUGACAGGAUGACCGGCGAAAUUGGAACGGAGACACGGUCAAGACUCCUACGGGAGAGAGCAGGGGGGAAUAAUGCACAAUGGGGGAAAGCCUGGGGCAGCCAUGGCGCGUGUAUGAAGAAGGCCUUCGGGUUGAAAAGUACUUGCAGCGGGGAGGCGUUACUCGCAGAAGAAGCACGGGCUAACUCCGUGCCAGCGGCCGCGGUAAUGC